rnacentral:rRNA from 1 species
ACGGGAGGCAGCAGUGGGGAAUAUUGGACAAUGGGGGCAACCCUGAUCCAGCAAUGCCGCGUGGGUGAAGAAGGUCUUCGGAUUGUAAAGCCCUUUCGGCGGGGACGAUGAUGACGGUACCCGCAGAAGAAGCCCCGGCUAACUUCGUGCCAGCAGCCGCGGUAAUACGAAGGGGGCUAGCGUUGCUCGGAAUUACUGGGCGUAAAGGGCGCGUAGGCGGUCUGCCAAGUCAGGCGUGAAAUUCCUGGGCUUAACCUGGGGGCUGCGCUUGAGACUGGUGGGCUAGAGGACGGAAGAGGGUCGUGGAAUUCCCAGUGUAGAGGUGAAAUUCGUAGAUAUUGGGAAGAACACCGGUGGCGAAGGCGGCGACCUGGUCCGUUACUGACGCUGAGGCGCGACAGCGUGGGGAGCAAACAGGAUUAGAUACCCUGGUA